CCCAAGCAUAAAGGACCCUAAGCUCGUGCGCACGCGUUUUAAGAAUGUUGGCCGUCAAGUGCACCUGUGUAUCGUGGCCGGCAGAGUGAUAUGAUACGUAGACCCGUGGUCAGGAUUUCAUGAUCUGGUGUUGAGGUUCUAGAGUUUUUGUCAGGUCAACAAGAAAUACACGACAUGGCAAGUGUUGUUGAUCCUGAUAUGUUUCAAGUUCCCUUAGCUGCGCUUUGUAACUCCACAAGGGAAGCACUUUCCACACAUUUGAAUCCAUUGAAAGUUCUUCCAACAGAUGAAGGUCUGCUGAGUUUACAGUGCCACAGCACAAACCAUUGCAGAACCUUCACCUUUCACAGACAUAAACUCUGUGGGAUCAAUCAUUCAUCCUGGAAAGUCUGUACUGUUACUGAAUUUUAUGGCUUUUAUUGGUUGGACAAAAAAAAAAAAGCACCAGCCAUGUAUCAUUCUCUGUCUUCCCUACUGAUACAUAUGUAUCGAUGCGUGGCCUAAGUAACUUUAUUAUUUACUGGGAUGUUUUCUCCCAUGCUGGAGCAUACAUAUUUGAGCUGUAUCAUGACAGCAGCACUUGAUGGAAGGUUGCUCACAUGUCUACCUGCAUAUAAAAUGAGUGGUCAUAAUGAAGGAGAGUCAACAUGUGUUCAUAUUUUUCUGUAAGGUUUCAUUAUGCACUACCAGCUUCAUCAAGUGCUUAUUCUUGCAUUUGCUUGGCAGAAUUCCAUGUAUUUGAAGAACUGACCUCUUCCACUUCUUGGAGAAUCCAAAAAGUUCAUAAUUUCCAAAGAAAUUCACAAUAGGAGUUAGUUCUUGUGUCAGACUGAUAGUUGUGGAUUUGUUGGAGGCAAAAUAUGGAUUGAUUGUGGAGGUGUUAGCAUGAUACAUUUCAAAAUUUCUGGGAUCACCCAUGUAAUAAUGUAACAUUGCAACAUAACAGGGGAACAAGCAUUGAAUGAGAAAAAAUGUGACACUUUAUAGCCUGUAGAAGACUGUAAUUGAAUCAAGAAAUAGUGGGAAUGCAAAAUGACAGGUGCUUAAUCUUGAGUUGAGAAUUGGGCACCAACCAACUAUUCAUUCACUAGAUAGGGUGCCUGUGUUCCAUUGAGGCAGAAGUAUCAGCCUGUGAGGCAGUUUUCCUGGAAUUAGAGCAUCUGUUGCAAUGUUCCUGUUGUGGA